UUGUAAUGUAACAUAUGCCUUUCUCCAAGAUUAGCUUAUCUUAGACAUUUAUGUCAGGUUGAAGUUGCUGCUUUGUCUACUUGAGAAGAAAAACAGGUUCAAUAUAAAGAUAAGAAGAAUAUUGCUGUCAUGAACCAAGGAUUCUUUUAUUCUAUUGCACAUGGUGGGCUGGUAAGGAUUGAUGGGGGAGUGACUCCAACUUCCUGGGUUUUUUUUUUUAGUACACAACUAAUUUGUGAAGUUAUAAAGGAGAGAAAGUACCUUGUCCUUCAGUAGUAUUUUUGCUACAUUUGGCAUUGAGUUGAUUCAUUUACAAUUUUAGUGUGGCCACUUAUUUAAGAAGGGAGGAGAAAUGGCAGAGACAGCAGUUAGCCUAGUUAUUGAAAAUUUGGUCCAAUUGUUAUUCCAAGAAGUGAGAUUACUCAAGGGUGUCCACGACAAAGUUGCAAGCAUCAAAGAUGAAUUAGAGAUUAUUCAAUCUUUCCUUAAGGAUGCAGAUGCAAGGGUCGAGCAAGAGAAUAUGAGCAAUGUUGAGAAAACAUGGGUGAAACAGAUAAGGGAAGAAGCUUACCACAUUGAAGACAUCAUUGAUGAAUACAUACUUCAUUUAGCAAAAGGUCCUCUUUGGCCAAGGCAACAGUUCCAUUUCCUCCGAAAGUUUUUUCAAUUUACCAAAAAGUUGAAAGCUAAACAUGUCAUAGCCUCCAAAAUUCAAGACAUCAACGUCAAUCUCAAGGAAAAGAGAGAGUUGGCUAUAAAAUAUCGUUUCAACACUAUUGAGCAAGGGGGAUUAAGCAACAAUGCUAGAAGUGUUACAUGGUAUGACCCUCGAGUGGCAUCUCUUUUCAUUGAGGAAGCUGAGGUUGUGGGCAUUGAGUUGCAUAGAGACAAAUUGAUAAACUGGCUGGUAGAAGAACCAUCUAAUCGCACUAUGAUUUCAGUGGUUGGCAUUGGUGGUGUUGGCAAGACCACUCUUGUGAAGAAAGUGUAUGACAACAAGAAAGUGGUAGCACACUUUAAUUGUCGUGCUUGGAUCACUGUGUCUCAAUCAUACAAGAAGGAAGACCUAUUUAGGGACAUGAUAAAGCAGUUCUAUAAGGCAAGAAAGGAGUUUGCUCCUAAAGAAAUUGACAAAAUGGAAGAGAUAAAUCUUAUUACAAUAUUAAGGCAGUAUUUGCAUGAGCAAAGAUAUGUAAUUGUUGCUGAUGAUUUAUGGGAUACAGAUUUUCUAGAAUGUUUAAAAUUUGUCUUACCUAAUAAUGACAAAGGUAGUGGAAUUGUAAUCACAACUCGAAAUGAGGAUGUUGCUCCCUCUCACAAUGAAUCUUCAUCUUGUUAUGUGCACAAGCAACUACCUUUACCGUCAAAUAAAGCUUUGGAAUUGUUCUACAAGAGGGUGUUUCAACAUGAAGAGGACAACUGUCCACAUGAACUAGUUGAGUUGUCGUGCAAAAUAGUUGAGAAAUGUGAAGGUUUGCCACUUGCAAUUGUGGUUAUAGGUGGCCUUUUGUCAAGCAAGGACAAGGUUGUCUCUGAGUGGUGUAAAUUGCAUGAUAGUCUUAGUUUGGAAUUAAACACUAAUUCACGUCUAAGAAGUAUCCCUAAAAUUCUAUCUCUUAGUUAUCAUGCUUUACCCUACUACCUUAAAGCUUGUUUCCUAUAUUUAGGCAUGUUUCCAGAAAAUUACCCCAUAAAUUGUGCAAGACUAAUUCGGCUUUGGAUAGCUGAGGGUUUUGUAAAAGAAAAACAAGGAAUAACAUUGGAAGAACUUGCACAAGGCUACUUGAACCAACUCAUUCAUAGAAGCUUGGUUCAAGUGGCAAGGUUUGAUCAAGUUGGCAAAAAAAGAUUUUGUCGAGUUCAUGAUAUGUUACGUGAGGUCAUUCUUUCAAGAUCAAAUGAGUUGAAUUUUUGCUUAGUCUCAAUUCAGAACUACACAAGUUUUGACAAAAUUGCUCGACGUCUCUCAAUUAUGAACAAUGUAAACACUCCACUGCAGAGUAUUUAUAAUUCUCAAACUCGUUCUGUUCUUAUUUUUGGGAUAGAUGAAGUACCCAAUUCUUUUUUUAUUGCUUGUUUUGCAAGUUUCAAGCUCAUGAGAACAAUGGAUUUUGAAGGUGCUCCAAUUGAUUACAUUCCUAAAGAAGUUGGGAACCUACUACAUCUAAGAUAUUUAAGCCUUAGAGAUACAAAAGUGAAAAUGCUUCCUAAAUCGAUAGGUAAACUGCACUACCUAGAGACUUUGGAUUUGAAACGUUCCCUUGUGUCUGAACUACCACCAGAGAUCAGUAGGCUCCAUAAGCUACAAUAUCUUGCGGCGUACAUUGUAGACAAUAAUGUAGAAUACAAUAUUGACUUUAGACAAGCCGUAAAGAUACCCAGUGGCAUAGGGCGUUUAAAAUCCUUACAAAAGCUUUCUAAGAUUGAAGCCAACAACAAUGCCCUUAUAACAGAAUUGGGGAGUUUGGGACAGUUAAGGAAGUUGGAAAUCACUAAAUUGAAGAGAGAAAAUGGGAUAGCUUUGUGCACCGUGCUAGAGACAAUGUGCCAACUUCAGUCAUUGAGAAUCAGGGCAACAAGUGAGGAAGAAGUUCUUGAAUUACAAUCAAUGUCUUCUCCUCCACCCCUACUACAAACUCUUGGCCUAUUUGGGCGGCUAGAAAAGUUUCCAGAAUGGAUUCUAAAACUCCAUAGUAUAGUUAGAAUUGUUUUGAACUGGUCAAAAUUAAUGGAAGAUUCAUUAAAGGUCCUUCAAGCUCUGCCUAAUUUGAUGCGACUUCAGCUUCACGAUGGAUACAGAGGUGAGCAAUUACAUAUUGAGGGAGGAGGCUUCCAGAAACUCAAGACUCUAGGGCUUCGAAAUUUGAGAGGAUUGAAUAGGUUGAUAAUAGAUGAAGGUGCCCUGCCUCUUCUUCAAAAUCUUGAUAUCGGAGAAUGCCGACAGCUGAAGGAGAUGCCCUCUAGCAUCCACCAUCUGAAAAGCCUAAAAAAUCUGCAAUUGUGGGAAAUGCCGACCGAAUUCGUUCUUAGUCUGCAACCAGAUGAAGGCCCUGAUUUUGGAAAAGUCAAGCAUAUUCCCUCUGUCACUUUCCGAUAUAGGACUCAUGGAGAAUACUUCAAUAGCUACAAGAUUGGUGAUUCAGAAUUGUUGAAGCGUCUAGAAAGGUGAUUCAUGGGGGACCAAAGUGCCCACACCACUUUCAGAAAAUUAUAGGAAAGACAUUUGAGCUAUCAAGUUUUACUAGCUUGUGAAUUACAGUUGGCUUCAAAUGCCAAUGUUUCAAGGAUUUUCAAGUGCUCAACCAACCAGAACAUCAGUAGUUGUUUCUACCCUGCAUUGCUACCUUUGUUAUUGUAUUGUUGUAAUUGUGUUAUCUUUUCAGUAUAAAGCAUACAAACCUCUUGAACUCAUGCUACUCAAAGAGUGAUUUUUAUUUGAAUUGUAUUUGUUGUCAUUAGAGUGGUUUAAGUACGCCAAGUGUUUCAUUGGUAUGCUCACAUGUAAUGGUUUUGAUGUGGCUAAAAAAUCUAUAUAAUGACAUUAGAGUAUAAUUUGUA